rnacentral:rRNA from 1 species
CAGCGCCUCAAGUGGUCAGGAUGAUUAUUGGGCCUAAAGCAUCCGUAGCCGGCGCUGUAAGUUUUCGGUUAAAUCUGUACGCUCAACGUACAGGCUGCCGGGAAUACUGCAGCGCUAGGGAGUGGGAGAGGUAGACGGUACUCGGUAGGAAGGGGUAAAAUCCUUUGAUCUAUUGAUGACCACCUGUGGCGAAGGCGGUCUACCAGAACACGUCCGACGGUGAGGGAUGAAAGCUGGGGGAGCAAACCGGAUUAGAUACCCGAGUAGUCC